rfam:Trichococcus sp. R210 isolate Trichococcus_R210 genome assembly, contig: TR210DRAFT_scaffold-23
CAAAUACACUUAGUGAUAAGUGCUUGACUCAUGAGAAGUCAGCAGAGGUCGUAGUAGUGAAGACAGCUAGUGAAAGCUAGAAAGAGCGAAGGAC